CUGAGGAUGAUGAUUAGUAUUCUUACCUACAUUGUUUGAUUAUCCUUGAAAAUAAACUUAUCUGAUUUAG